AUCUUGCAUGUUCGGACUGUUGGUUCGCGCUCACCCUUAACACUGAGUGAAUGAACUGAGGUGGCAUACUGGGGACGCGGACUGUGCCCAGCCAGGACUGACCUCUUUAGGCCUCUGAUUCUGGCUCAGAGCAGCAGAGACCAAUUUCGUCAAGGCCUUCGUCUGGACAAGGGCUCACGCGACCCAACCCAGCCUUCCUGGCCCGCUCCCAGCUCCUUCUGGCCCCUACUCAGCAGGGCACGUCGUCCAUGCCCACGUUACCCCCACAUGCCACAAUGGUUCUCAUCAGAGUCCUGCCCUCAACCAUAAUGAAUGGAGGAAUGAACACAGCUGAGGUCCUGGAUUCUUGCUCAGCCUCGUCUCUGCCUGUGUGUCCUGGGCCAGAGGCGGAGCCCCAGCCCCAUCCCCAUCAGCCGGAGGGACCUCAGAAUUGUUGGUGUUUCCACGGGCCCCCUCCGGGACAAUGACUUUUGCUCAGCUGGUCCCAUGAAGCAUCCCCUCCAUUCUCCGUGAUGUCUGUUUCAAACUACAUAAUGCUGGACUUGGCUGGCCCCCAUCUAUUUACCAAGAAAGUUCUAGCAGAUGGCAUUCCGUGCAUCUCUUCAAAAACUAGACUGUUGCCUUCGUUGAUGUGCACAGAAUUAGAAAAAACCUGUCGAGGUCUGCUUUCCAUAGGGGGCCUCAUUCAGAGCCCAUCUUCCCUCCUCCAAGCCAGACUGGGAUUCCAGCAUCGGGGAUCCCCCUUUCCCCUGCUUCUUCCUUAGUGGAAAGGCAGGCUGGAGCUUCUUCCAUGUAUUGACUGAUUAGGUCAAGCUCACACUUAACACUGAGUGAAUGAACUGAGGUGGCAUACUGGGGACACGGACUGUGCCCAGCCAGGACUGACCUCUUCAGGCCUCCAAUUCUGGCUCAGAGCAGCAGAGACUAAUUUUGUCAAGGCCUCAAUCUGGACAAGGGCUCACACAACCCAACCCAGCCUUCAUGCCCUGCCUAGACGAUGAAGGGACCGUUCUCCCUUUGGCUUCUGGCCCCUACUCAGCACGGCACAUCCCCCAUGCCAUAAGGGAACUCACUCACGUGAUGCAAUUACCAGGAUGAGAGCUUGAAAGCAGACUACCGUCUGGAUUCUUGCUCAGCCUCAUCUCUGCCAGGGCAUCCUCUGAAAUGCUCCCAGCCUUUGGCAAGAGAAGGAAGGAGGCCAAAACCAGUCCCUGAGCCAGAGGCAGAACUCCGUCAUCUUCUCUCCUAGCAACUUGAAAUUGAUGGUGUUGACAUGAGGUCCUACAGGACAGUGCCCUCUGCCCACUUGGGCUCCCAGCCAUGCCCAGAAGGCUCCAUGAUGUCAGCUGCAAAGCAGUCAACAAUCACAUGUACCCACCCCUAAACACUGAGACCCUAAAGUGACUCUUGUAAUCCAAGAGAUGAGUUUUGGCCCCAAUCUAGGCCAAUAUCCGCCGACUUCCCCUGAGUCCCCUGAACAGACUUCGAGGAGGGCUUUCUCUUGAUCAGCUCUCCCCAGAUCCUCACAACUUCCAGGACCCUCCGUUUGAAAGCGGAGCCCAUUGUCCUGGUUCUCUCCCCUCUUGAUUGUUACUGAUGGUGGGGACUUGUUCGGACACCUCUGGAAACACAAUCAUAAUCAGGUAAUCCCUGAUGACCUCAGCAUUAAAAAUGAGUCACAGCGUGUGGAGGGGCCUGGUGCACCUGUUUGUGGGGUC